rnacentral:rRNA from 1 species
AUUGAACGCUGGCGGCAUGCUUUACACAUGCAAGUCGAACGGUAACAGGCCUUCGGGCGCUGACGAGUGGCGAACGGGUGAGUAAUGCAUCGGAACGUGCCCAGUCGUGGGGGAUAACUAUCCGAAAGGAUAGCUAAUACCGCAUACGAUCUGCGGAUGAAAGCGGGGGACCUUCGGGCCUCGCGCGAUUGGGGCGGCCGAUGUCAGAUUAGGUAGUUGGUGGGGUAAAGGCUCACCAAGCCAACGAUCUGAAGCUGGUCUGAGAAGACGACCAGCAAGACUGGGACUGAGACACGGCCCAGACUCCUACGGGAGGCAGCAGUGGGGAAUUUUGGACAAUGGGCGCAAGCCUGAUCCAGCAAUGCCGCGUGCAGGAAGAAGGCCUUCGGGUUGUAAACUGCUUUUGUACGGAACGAAACGGCUCUGGUUAAUACCUGGGGCUAAUGACGGUACCGUAAGAAUAAGCACCGGCUAACUACGUGCCAGCCGCCGCCGUAACAC